rnacentral:tRNA from 1 species
GGGCAGUUAACUCAGUUGGUAGAGUGUUUCUUUGACGUGGAAAAAGUCAGGAGUUCGAGUCUCUUACUGCCCACCA